rnacentral:rRNA from 1 species
UGGCGGACGGGUGAGUAAUGUCUGGGAAACUGCCCGAUGGAGGGGGAUAACUACUGGAAACGGUAGCUAAUACCGCAUAACGUCGCAAGACCAAAGAGGGGGACCUUCGGGCCUCUUGCCAUCGGAUGUGCCCAGAUGGGAUUAGCUAGUAGGUGGGGUAACGGCUCACCUAGGCGACGAUCCCUAGCUGGUCUGAGAGGAUGACCAGCCACACAGGAACUGAGACACGGUCCAG